rnacentral:rRNA from 1 species
UACGUAGGGGGGCUAGCGUUGUCCGGAAUCAUUGGGCGUAAAGAGCGUGUAGGCGGUCCGGUAAGUCCGCUGUGAAAGUCGGGGGGCUCAACCCUCGAAUGCCGGUGGAUACUGUCGGGCUAGAGUGCGGAAGAGGCGAGUGGAAUUCCUGGUGUAGCGGUGAAAUGCGCAGAUAUCAGGAGGAACACCUAUUGCGAAGGCAGCUCGCUGGGACGUAACUGACGCUGAGACGCGAAAGCUAGGGGAGCGAACGGG